rnacentral:rRNA from 1 species
UCAGGACGAACGCUGGCGGCGCGCCUAACACAUGCAAGUCGAACGGAGUUGUGUUGAAAGCUUGCUGGAUAUACAACUUAGUGGCGGACGGGUGAGUAACGCGUGAGUAAUCUGCCUAUCACAGGGGGAUAACAGAGGGAAACUUCUGCUAAUACCGCAUAAGACCACAGGAUGGCAUCAUCAAGGGGUCAAAGGUUAGAUCUGGUGAUAGAUGAGCUUGCGUAUCAUUAGCUAGUUGGUGAGGGUAAAGGCCCACCAAGGCGACGAUGAUUAGCCGAUCUGAGAGGAUGACCGGCCACACUGGGACUGAGAUACGGCCCAGACUCCUACGGGAGGCAGCAGUUAGGAAUAUUGGGCAAUGGAGGAAACUCUGACCCAGCAACGCCGCGUGAAGGAAGAAGGUUUUCGGACUGUAAACUUCUGAUCUAAGGGAAAAAGAAAGUGAUGGUACCUUAGGAGAAAGCCACGGCUAACUACGUGCCAGCAGCCGCGGUAA